AGCAGCGUGUAAACAUGCUGCCAGUGAGAGUGGAGGUUUGGUGAGACAAACAGUAACAAAAACAGACACAGAAGGGUAACCAGGGAAAAAUAACAGCGUGGCAAAAGAAAAUUCAGGAAGGAAGAAAACGAACAAUUCUGCUUGUCCUUUAAGCAGCCUGAAAACCUAAUGUUGCAAACAAGAUGGUUUAGAAAGGGAUGUAUGUCCAAAUUCACGGUGCUAGCUCUCUCUGCCUUGCUUAUCAAGGUGGCGGAUAACUUCCGGGAUCAAGUUGUCCAGCAACCUGAGGAGGGUUAGAAAAAGCCGGGUGUGUCCUGGGCACAGAUGCCGUAAUCCACUCCUACCCCAGGUUGACUGAGCUUGAGCCACUAAUUCCACUUUUCACCCUUGAUUCUCAAUCAACCUCAAUGGGGUUUUCCUUGUUUUUUGUUUUUUUGUUUUUCCCAUCACCAAUCACUUGAAAGAAGCUUGCUUUGGCUGGAGUCUGACAGGCCUGGGCUCCACGGGCCGCAGGUUGGCUCCCUCACAGCUCUCUGUGGUAGAGGAGGAAGGACCAGCUCCCUCCGUGGAGGGGGUGGUGGGGCACAGCACACCCACCGUCUCCGGGGCUGUCUGGGACUGGCCCUCACCACCGGCCGGUGGCGAGGAUUAGGCUUUGGGAAUUUAGACACCAACAGCAGAAACAAUGGCGGCACUCUGCGCGAGAGGCAGCUGUCACUGGAUGAGAUGCCUGGAACUGCUGCAACCAUCUUGCGACCAACCCAGGGAUGACAUGGACUCCGGGAAGAUCAUCUGGCCCGGAGCAUUGCUGAGAGCAGGCUCCUGGAGGCCAUGCCUGGAGUCUGCCCUACUGUUAGCCGGUUUGCCUUGUGGUCUUCUGCUAUUUGCAGCCAAACUCCCCUUAACUCUCUGCUGCUACACUUAGGCCUUAGAGAAAAGGCCUCUCUGAGAAGGUGACACUCAAGCUGAGGCAGGAAGGAUUAGGUGGAAGAGAGGCAAUGUUAAGAGUCAGAGAAAACAGUAUCUGUAAAGUCUUUAAAGAGUGAACGACUUUGGCUUGUUUGAGACACUGAAAGCUUGUAGGACUGAAGUAUAGUAACUGAAGGAGAGCGUGAAAUGAGAUAAGAUUAGCAGAAAAGAUCAUCCAGGGCCUUCCUGGCCACAGUAAGAAGUUUAGAGUAAUUCUAAGUGUACUAAGGAGUCACUGAAGGACUAAAAGCAGAGACGUGAUGUGAUCCCAAGAUCAUUCUGGCUGCUGCUGUUUGGAGAAUAUCCCGGAAGAGGGAGUGGAGCAGUGGGCAGACCACCUGGGGCUACCGCCGGAAUCCAGAUGCCUUCUUCACUAUAAAAUUUGCACAGCAUUAUGAAGGAGAAAAAAGAGAACACAAAAAGAAAUUAGAUUCAGCAGGAAACAGGAGCAGGAGAAUGUUCAAGAACAAAACUUUGGAAAAAUAUAGACUGAUGAAACUCUCCUCAGAUCCUGCAUGUGGAUCCGUUCGUAUUAUGAAUCUCUUACCUGAACCUUAAACAAAGAAGAGGCAGCCUCUAAUAUCAGGACAACAUCUGACAACCUGAGAGCACUCCAGAGGCACGUAUUGAAUACUCAGAAAACUGUGUGUCUAGAUGUUUAUAAACUACUGAGGUCAAGGUUUUCUCAUUGAUAGGAGGAAGAAACAAAGAGGAACUAUACUGUAUCUUCUAAAGUUGACCAAGACAAAGUCCCCAAUCACUGCAUGCUGAUCCCAUCUGAGGUGCAGACAAUUUGAGAAUCCAUAAGAUAUUAUUUGGAUUUUAUCCCCAGUCCUAGACCCUUUGGUGUUUAAUUAAUGUGCUGAACCCAACCUUAUACUCACCUCUCUAACCCCCUCCUGAAUAAGACUAGAGGGGGGUUACUGAGAGGAUAAUUACUGUUUCUGGAAAUAAUACCAGAAAUCCUUUUUUCUUCCUCCCCAAAGCCCCAGUGCAUGGUCGUAUAUCCUAGCUGUAAGUCCUUCUAGCUCUCC